rnacentral:rRNA from 1 species
UACGUAGGUGGCAAGCGUUGUCCGGAUUUACUGGGCGUAAAGCGUAUGCAGGCGGAUGCUUAAGUAGGAAGUGAAAGGUUGGAGCUCAACUCUAACACUGCUCCCUAUACUGGGUGUCUUGAGUGCCGGAGAGGAAGAUGGAACUGCGCGUGUAGCGGUGAAAUGCGUUGAGAUGUGCAGGAACACCAAUGGCGAAAGCAGUCUUCUGGACGGAUACUGACGCUGAGAUACGAAAGCCAAGGUAGCAAACAGG